rnacentral:rRNA from 1 species
GUGGGGAAUAUUGGACAAUGGGCGCAAGCCUGAUCCAGCCAUGCCGCGUGUGUGAAGAAGGCCUUCGGGUUGUAAAGCACUUUCAGUUGGGAGGAAGGCCUGUAAGUUAAUACCUUGCAGGAUUGACGUUACCAACAGAAGAAGCACCGGCUAACUCCGUGCCAGCAGCCGCGGUAAUACGGAGGGUGCAAGCGUUAAUCGGAAUUACUGGGCGUAAAGCGCGCGUAGGUUGGUAGUUAAGCGAGAUGUGAAAUCCCCGGGCUUAACCUGGGAAUUGCGUUUCGAACUGGCUGACUAGAGUACGGUAGAGGGUGGUGGAAUUUCAGGUGUAGCGGUGAAAUGCGUAGAGAUCGGGAGGAACAUCCGUGGCGAAGGCGGCCAUCUGGACCAGCACUGACACUGAGGCACGAAAGCGUGGGGAGCAAACAGGAUUAGAAACCCGAGUAGUCC